rnacentral:rRNA from 1 species
AGAACCUGAAACCGUGUACGUACAAGCAGUGGGAGCACAGGUUUACCUGUGUGACUGCGUACCUUUUGUAUAAUGGGUCAGCGACUUAUAUUCUGUAGCAAGGUUAACCGUAUAGGGGAGCCGAAGGGAAACCGAGUCUUAACCGGGCGUUAAGUUGCAGGGUAUAGACCCGAAACCCGGUGAUCUAGCCAUGGGCAGGUUGAAGGUUGGGUAACACUAACUGGAGGACCGAACCGACUAAUGUUGAAAAAUUAGCGGAUGACCUGUGGCUGGGGGUGAAAGGCCAAUCAAACCGGGAGAUAGCUGGUUCUCCCCGAAAGCUAUUUAGGUAGCGCCUCGUGAAUUCAUCUCCGGGGGUAGAGCACUGUUUCGGCUAGGGGGCCAUCCCGGCUUACCAACCCGAUGCAAACUGCGAAUACCGGAGAAUGUUAUCACGGGAGACACACGGCGGGUGCUAACGUCCGUCGUGAAGAGGGAAACAACCCAGACCGCCAGCUAAGGUCCCAAAGUCAUGGUUAAGUGGGAAACGAUGUGGGAAGGCCCAGACAGCCAGGAUGUUGGCUUAGAAGCAGCCAUCAUUUAAAGAAAGCGUAAUAGCUCACUGGUCGAGUCGGCCUGCGCGGAAGAUGUAACGGGGCUAAACCAU